rnacentral:rRNA from 1 species
UGAGUACGAGCUGCUACGGCAGCGAAGUGGGUGAUGUCAAGCUUCCAAGAAAAGCCCUAUACCCGUUAAGGCAUGAUGGCCUGUACCCGAAACCGACACAGGUGGGGUGGUAGAGAAUACCGAGGGGCGCGAGAUAACUCUCUCUAAGGAACUCGGCAAAAUGGCCCCGUAACUUCGGGAGAAGGGGUGCCACCGCAAGGUGGUCGCAGUGAAGAGGCCCAGGCGACUGUUUACCAAAAACACAGGUCUCCGCUAAGUCGCAAGACGAUGUAUGGGGGCUGACGCCUGCCCAGUGCCGGAAGGUUAAGGAAGCUGGUCAGCGUAAGCGAAGCUAGCGACUGAAGCCCCGGUGAACGGCGGCCGUAACGAUAACGGUCCUAAGGUAGCGAAAUUCCUUGUCGGGUAAGUUCCGACCCGCACGAAAGGCGUAACGAUCUGGGCGCUGUCUCGGAGAGAGGCUCGGCGAAAUAGAAUUGUCUGUGAAGAUGCGGACUACGUGCACCCGGACAGAAAGACCCUAUGAAGCUUUACUGUAGCUUGGUAUUGUGCUCGGGCUCGGAAUGCGCAGGAUAGGUGGAGGCUAUGAACCAUUGCUUGUGGGUGAUGGUGAGCCACUGGUGAGAUACCACUCUUUCCGAGCUAGAGUUCUAACAGCCACCCGUUAUCCGGGGGCUGGACAGUAUCAGGUGGGCAGUUUGACUGGGGCGGUCGCCUCCUAAAAGGUAACGGAGGCGCGCAAAGGUUUGCUCAGGCUGGUUGGAAAUCAGCCGACGAGUGUAAAAGCAGAAGCAAGCUUGACUGUGAGACCUACAAGUCGAACAGGGAGGAAACUCGGCUUUAGUGAUCCGACGGUUCUGCGUGGAAGGGCCGUCGCUCAACGGAUAAAAGUUACUCUAGGAUAACAGGCUGAUCUCCCCCAAGAGUUCACAUCGACGGGGAGGUUUGGCACCUCGAUGUCGGCUCAUCGCAACCUGGGGCUGAAGUCGGUCCCAAGGGUUGGGCUGUUCGCCCAUUAAAGCGGUACGCGAGCUGGGUUCAGAACGUCGUGAGACAGUUCGGUCCAUAUCCGGUGCAUGCGCAGGAAUAUUGAGAGGAUUUCUCCCUAGUACGAGAGGACCGGGAGGAACGCACCUCUGGUGUACCAGUUAUCGUGCCAACGGUAAACGCUGGGUAGCCAUGUGCGGAGAGGAUAACCGCUGAAAGCAUCUAAGUGGGAAGCCCACCUCAAGAUGAGUAUUCCCAUGGGGUAACCCAGUAAGGUCACGGGAAGAACACCCGUUGAUAGGCUCUACGUGGAAGCGCAGUAAUGUGUGAAGCGGAGGAGUACUAAUAGACCGAGGGCUUGAC